UUCUGGACUUCAGUGUCAGCGGGAAAAUAAACCCAUUUGCCUAAAUCCAUUAGGCGCGGUUCUAGUUUCCCAGCUUAAGAAACAAAAGGUUUCAAGUCGCCUUUAUUACUGCUCCAUCUUGUCUUGGGAGGAGAUUUCCACAUUAGCUAAAAGUGAUUUGGGAGAGAGGUGAUGGGGUGUGGAGGAGCUUUCCGGGUUAAGCUAGAUCAUGCCGCGCUGACAUCUUUCUCCGGCUCAGCUUAGAUGCUCUUGCAUGAAGUUUCCCAUACCUGUCUAACAAUGUGCAAAUCUGAAUGUAAUGUCUGAAUUUUGAAGCUUUGUUCAACAUAUUCAAUGACUCUUGUUAAACUGUUGAAUGAUUUAUGCUCUCUAGUCUCUUGAAUUAUUUCUAGCUUGCAGCAAAUUGUUUUGCUAUAUAUUUAAACAUGGUGCAGUUCAUUGUGGCAGCUGUUUUGUUUUAUUUGUAUUAUAAGUGGAUGGGAAAGUCAUA